AUGGACAAAUGUGUGAAGAACCUGAAGAGGCGGGCCUUGGCUCCUUGGAGCAACAUCUGCCCCUUCUCUGCCGGCUCCCCUGCGGCUUCUUCAGUCCCAAGGGCCUUCUGCUUUCCAGAACCCUGUGAGCCGGGCCGCUGGGGGGCGCCCCCCCCCUCAGGAGUUGCACCCUGCCCCCGACCGCUCAGAGUCCUAGCUGCUGGAUCUAGCUCUGCUGCUGAUAAGUCACUGGGAAAAUUGGGGUGCGCCCUGCUCGCCCCCCCAUCGUUUCUGCUACACUCUGUUGAGCACACACCAUGUGCCGACCGGACCCUGGCAGGUGCCGUGGAGAACGUGGCACUGCCUCUGCGCUCUUGGAGCUCCCCACCCAGCAGGAGAGGCACACACAUCACCAACGUGAUAAAAUAAAGAGGCACUGGGGUCGCAGUGAAUGGAGAGGUGACAAAUGUCCAAUUGGGUCCCCUAGCUAACGGAACCUAAGAGAAUCUGUGCUGACAUCCUCAGACCUAUUCCACUUUGUGUGCCUCAGUUUCCUCACCUGUAGAUGACACUAGGAGGCUCCUAAAGUGUCCUGCAGACUAAAAGCCCCUGCCUCCAUGACUGAGGGCCAUUCCAGCUGCCCCCAGCCUCCCACAGAGAGGGCAAACAGACCAGCUUGACCCUCUACCCCUGGCCCCCCACCCCAGGAGUCUGGGCCUGCAGAUCCCUCAGACCACACAUGAAGCCUAGGUUUGCCAGAGGCCCAGCCAGCGGGCGUGGUGGCCUCCCAGAGCUCAGGACCCAGCCCAAGACCUUCCCCAACAAAUCAACUCCAGGCAGCAGCCAGGAGCAUCCCGGUGGCAGUCUAUGCUGGGAGCAGGGGAGAGACAUGAGUGUGACGUAGGAAGUGGACAGAACUCCUAACACUUGUCCUGACUUUGAGUCAUGUGUCAGGUUGCUGAGGUGAAGCAGGGAAAGGGAUUGUGUUGGAGGUUAUCCCCCAAACUGAGUUCUCCAUCCACCAGAUAAAAAGGCUUGGUCCUGGGAUUGAGUCCCACAUCGGGCUCCCCGCGGGGGGCCUGCUUCUCCCUCUGCCUGUGUCUCUGCCUUUCUGUGUCUCUCAUGAAUAAAUAAAUAAGAUUUUAAAAAUAAAUAAAGAAA
rnacentral:lncRNA from 12 species